UACGAGGGGGGCAAGCGUUGUUCGGAAUUAUUGGGCGUAAAGGGCGCGUAGGUGGUGGCUUAAGCGUGCGGUGAAAGCUCGGGGCUCAACUCCGAGUCGGCCGUGCGAACUGGGCUCACUGGAGCAUAGUAGAGGCAGGUGGAAUUCCGGGUGUAGCGGUGGAAUGCGUAGAGAUCCGGAAGAACACCGGUGGCGAAGGCGGUUCUCUGGGCCUGUACUGGACGCUGAGGAGCGAAAGCGUGGGGAGCGAACAGG
rnacentral:rRNA from 1 species